UCUGAAGCGCUUUGGGAGAGCUGAGAUCCAUCCCAUGGAAACCAUCCUCAACUUCUUCAGCCAGAGUUGGCACCCCCAGGGGAUAACGCUCGCCAGAUGCUGGUAUCAUGCUCUUGGAAUUCCCAGUCUCCAGAACUGAGAAAAUACACACAACUAGGUCAGGCAGAAUGUCCGCUUCUAUAUCAUCAGGAUUCAGCCAAUAAUUCUGGAGCCCCUACUGGCUGACUAAUACUAGGCCCUUUGGGAAUUGCAAAGAUGAAUAAGGUAACUCCUCUGUCUCAAGAAGCUUUCAAGAGAUUGGGCAAGUGAUGAUCAGCAAGCUAGUCUGAGAGAAGAGAGAGUAUCUAGAACAAGAUAUACCCAUGAGCCAAUAGGAGACUCUACCUGUGCAUUGCCUUUGGAAGGGAACUUCUGGGGUCUCUUUACAGAGGAAGUGUUGGGUCAGAUACUUGUGCAUUAGGAAGAAGAGCAAAAAAAAUGGCACUCACAUCUGGAGAUUUUGUCCAAAUCCAUCCCAAAGCUUCACCACUAAUAAAGGCAAA
rnacentral:lncRNA from 1 species